GGAUAACCUACCCUUGAGACGGGGAUAACCCCGGGAAACUGGGUAUAAUACCCGAUAGAUCUCGAUUGCUGGAAUGCAUCGAGCUUGAAAGCUCCGGCGCCUAAGGAUGGGUCUGCGGCCUAUCAGGUAGUAGUGGGUGUAGCGUACCUACUAGCCUACGACGGGUACGGGUUGUGAGAGCAAGAGCCCGGAGAUGGAUUCUGAGACACGAAUCCAGGCCCUACGGGGUGCAGCAGGCGCGAAAACUUUACAAUGCUGGCAACAGCGAUAAGGGGACCUCGAGUGCCAGGUUACAAAUCUGGCUGUCGUGAUGCCUAAAAAGCAUUGCAUAGCAAGGGCCGGGCAAGACCGGUGCCAGCCGCCGCGGUAACACCGGCGGCUCGAGUGGUAACCGUUAUUAUUGGGUCUAAAGGGUCUGUAGCCGGCCGGAUAAGUCUCUUGGGAAAUCUGGCAGCUUAACUGUCAGGCUUUCAGGAGAUACUGUCUGGCUCGAGGCCGGGAGAGGUGAGAGGUACUUCAGGGGUAGGGGUGAAAUCUUGUAAUCCUUGAAGGACCACCGGUGGCGAAGGCGUCUCACCAGAACGGACCUGACGGCAAGGGACGAAAGCUAGGGGCACGAACCGGAUUAGAUACCCGGGUAGUCCUAGCCGUAAACGAUACUCGCUAGGUGUCGGCAACGGUGCGACCGUUGUCGGUGCCGUAGGGAAGCCGUGAAGCGAGCCACCUGGGAAGUACGGCCGCAAGGCUGAAACUUAA
rnacentral:rRNA from 1 species